rnacentral:lncRNA from 1 species
CACAGCUAUGGGGGCACAGACUCCUCAGACCCACAGCUGUGGGUGCACAGAGCCCCCCAGACCCACAGCAGUGGGUGCACAGACCCCCAGACCCACAGCCAUGGGUGCACAGACUCCUCAGACCCACAGCAAUGGGUGCACAGACCCCAGACCCACAGCUAUGGGUGCACAGACCCCCAGACCCACGGCAACGGGUGCACAGACCCCCAGACCCCCAGCAAGCCGCUGCUCCCGCAGGUCUCGGUGAACGGGCAGCACCAGCUGCAGUUCCUGCACCGGCUGCCGCUGCAAACGGUGCAGACGCUCGAGGUCACCGGCGACGUCAACCUCACCUGCAUCAGCUUCACCGGCCCGGUGAGCACCCGCCGCCGGCCCCGGGCCCCCGCGGCGCCCGCGCAGCGCCCGAGCGGCUCACCGUGCUCUGCGCUCCCUCCGCAGGCGCAGUCGGCGCAGUCGGUGCAGUCGGCGCAGUCGGCGCAGCUCCUGGGUGCCAACUUCCACAGGUUCAUUUCCCAGACUCAGGCGCAGCUGCUGCAGGGAGCCGCUGUGAGUAAAUGUGUGCAAAUGUGUGUGGGUGCACGUGGGUGCUCACGGGUGCGCAAAUGCGCGUCGGUGCACAUGGGUGUGCACUUGCAAAUGGGUGCACAAAUGCAUGUGGGUGCAUAUGGGUGCACAAAUGCACGUGGGUGCACAAAUGCACGUGGGUGCACACAUGCACAUGGGUGCACAUGGGUGCACACUUGCAAAUGGGUGCACAAAUGCAUGUGGGUGCAUAUGGGUGCACAAAUGCACGUGGGUGCCCGUGGGUGUGCAGCCCCAAGGCUGGCCGGGGGAGGUGGCGGGGUGCUUGCGGCAGGUGACACCGGGUGACACCCGCACUCCUCUCCUCGCAGCCCGACACGCCGGUGGUCGUCAGCAACCCAGUGAGCGCGGGGCGCCCUGCGCCCCCACCCCGGAGCCUUCGGCUCCAUCCUCAUCCUCCCGCACCCCCAACUCCGGCCUCCUUCACCGCCAGCGGAGCUGGGGGUGUCGGGGGGACACCGGGGCCCCCGGG